UGAUCCCAUGCCGAACUCAGCAGUGAAACCGCUCAGCGCCGAUGGUAGUGUGGGGCUUCCCCAUGCGAGAGUAGGUCAUCGUCAGGC
rnacentral:rRNA from 1 species